UCACCUCAGUUCAGAAGAACAUAUUCUACUGAUUUCUGUGAAGAAAGACAAAACAGGAAAUAAUCUCCUGACCAACUACAAUCAAACAGUACUCGACUGAAAAUUGCCACAGACGCAUUGAUCACCACAAUCUCCUUAAAUAUUUUAGGAGCAAAAGAGUCAGAUUCAGGCAUAUAUUCCUGUGGAGCAAAGAAAAACACUCCAGAGAUGUUCUUCGAAAAGCUCAUCAGACUCGAGAUCAAGGGUCUGUUUGGAACAGAAAAGCCAAAAGAAGUUGACAUCACAGUAUUGACUACGAAAGAGAGGGCAUUGAUGUUCGGUGGUGUUGGUCUGGCUAUUGCUGUGUUUUUCGUGGCUACAGUCAUC